AUACGGAGGGGGCUAGCGUUGUUCGGAAUUACUGGGCGUAAAGCGCGCGUAGGCGGUUUAUCAAGGUAGGCGUGAAAGGCCUGGGCUCAACCCGGGAAUUGCGCUUAAUACUGGUAGACUUGAGUCCGGGAGAGGGUGGCGGAAUUCCCAGUGUAGAGGUGAAAUUCGUAGAUAUUGGGAAGAACACCAGUGGCGAAGGCGGCCACCUGGUCCGGUACUGACGCUGAGGUGCGAAAGCGUGGGGAGCAAACAGGAUUAGAUACCCCAGUAGUCC
rnacentral:rRNA from 1 species